CAUCAUGGGAGUUGGUUUUACCCGAAGCGCUGUGCUAACCGCAAGGAGGCAGGCGACCACGGUAGGGUCAGCGACUGGGGUGAAGUCGUAACAAGGUAGCCGUAGGGGAACCUGCGGCUGGAUCACCUCCUUU
rnacentral:rRNA from 1 species